UACAGAGGUCUCAAGCGUUGUUCGGAUUCAUUGGGCGUAAAGCGCGUGUAGGCGGUCCGGUAAGUCCGCUGUGAAAGUCGGGGGCUCAACCCUCGGAUGCCGGUGGAUACUGUCGGGCUUGAGUACGGAAGAGGAGACUGGAAUUCAUGGUGUAGCAGUGAAAUGCGCAGAUAUCGGGAAGAACACCCGUGGCGAAGGCGGCUUUCUGGGACGGUACUGACGCUGAGACGCGAAAGCGUGGGGAGCGAACAGG
rnacentral:rRNA from 1 species